UGGGGAAUAUUGCACAAUGGGCGCAAGCCUGAUGCAGCGACGCCGCGUGAGGGAUGACGGCCUUCGGGUUGUAAACCUCUUUCAGUAGGGAAGAAGCUUUCGGGUGACGGUACCUGCAGAAGAAGCGCCGGCUAACUACGUGCCAGCAGCCGCGGUAAUACGUAGGGCGCAAGCGUUAUCCGGAAUUAUUGGGCGUAAAGAGCUCGUAGGCGGUUUGUCGCGUCUGCUGUGAAAGACCGGGGCUCAACUCCGGUUCUGCAGUGGGUACGGGCAGACUAGAGUGCAGUAGGGGAGACUGGAAUUCCUGGUGUAGCGGUGAAAUGCGCAGAUAUCAGGAGGAACACCGAUGGCGAAGGCAGGUCUCUGGGCUGUAACUGACGCUGAGGAGCGAAAGCAUGGGGAGCGAACAGG
rnacentral:rRNA from 1 species